GGUUUAUCAAGGGUUUCCACUUUUGCUUCUUCCUCAUUUUCUCUUGCUGCUGACACAUAAGAAGUGCCUUUCGCCUCCCGCCAUGAUUCUGAGGCCUCCCCAGCCAUGUGGAACUAUUCUUGUGCUGUCACUCAGGCUGGAGUGCAACGUUGAAAUCUCGGCUCACUGCAACUUCUGCCUCCCGGAUUCAGGCAAUUCUUGUGUCUCAGCCUCCUAAGAAGCUGAGAUUACAGCAACUCCAAAAUGGAAGUACUAUUGUUAUCUCCGUUUACAAAUUAGGAAACUGAGGCACAGAUAUGCUCUUGGGUACUUGUCAGCAGCAGUUGUUCUACAAGCUAAAUAUCUGGAUAUCUUAAAUCUCAGAUGAGCGUCUUAGCCUCUGGAUUACUGCUCAAUGAGGAAAGCUAUGAAAUGCAUGGAUAACUUGCUAAUCAGUAUUUGCCAUAUGUGCUAGCAGCAUCAGCAUCAGUUGGGAGAUUAUGGUGGCCUCCAUGUCAGACCUCCUAAAUCGGAAUAUCAGAGAAGGUGGCCCAGGUUACCAUGCUUCAUCUGCCAAUGCAUUGAAAACUUGGAAUGUAAAUUAAUUCAACCAUUGUGGAAGAUGGUGUAGUGAUUCCUCAAAGACCUAGAAGCAGAAAUAUCAUUUGAUCCAGAAAUCCCAUUACUGUGUAUACACCCAAAGGAAUAUAAACCAUUCUAUUACAAAGAUACAUGCGUG
rnacentral:lncRNA from 1 species